AUUCCUGUCAUCUUGAAGGCAAGCCACCGAAAGCUUCAUGACCACAAGAGGGCGUGUUCUGUUUUGAAUUUAAUGUAUCUGACUGCUCUCAGUGCCAGUCACAACAUCUGAACAGGGUAACUUCAUGUUUGCAUGCAAAUUUAGUAUGUUGGAGAGGUUCCAGGUUCUACUACUGAAAACUGAAAUAAUUCCACAGUGCGUACAGCAUCUCUGCCACUUCUUCUGUCCUCUGCCUGAGUGCAUUGUGCCUGGCCUGGACAGACCACAUCUCAAAAGGAGACAAGCUUUAAGGAGAAGGAGGAGGCCUUAGGCAGGAAAAAGCACCUUCUGUAAAGGAGGCUUGGUUUCCUGCCUGCUGAAAGGAGAGGGAAGUUCUUUUCUUUCAUCACUGUUAGGUGAGUGAAGUUUCCACACCCGUUUGCUUGAGGGAAAGGAAAACAGAUUUUGAAGUUUUUCUAAUUGCUGUGGUGCUUGUUGUCGCAGCUGAGAGAGGCAUUCCUGUAGGAAGGAACUUUUCCACCACGUGGCUGCUCUCUCCUCCACUGUCAUGUGUUUGAGAUCAAACAUCUCCCUGGACAAUGCUGACUUGGGGAUUUACAGUUUCUUGAGCUUCCUUGACUAAUCAGUUCCCACAUACUGCAUGUGGUCAGUUAACAAGAAUAAAGAUGUUUUUCCUACCUGUAAGUCCUGCA
rnacentral:lncRNA from 1 species